ACUAAAGCCCAGAGGAAAUCCUGAAUGCUGCUCUAAUCACCUGUAUUGUUCAUUGAAUCAGCCUUGGAUGAUUUUGGUUAUUUUGGAUUUCAGUGGUUUCAGGGUCUUCCUGAACCUCCUUGAAGAAAAACUCAAUGAUGUCAGUGAUGGCCUGCCAAUGAACUCUGCUUCUGUCUCUCAUCAAUUUCUCAAGAUGUGAGGUGUGAUCAACGGCCAGCUCUUCUGGUAUCAAGCGUGGUUCUUCCCUCCACCGUUCAGGAAGGAUCCAAGUUACCCUUUCAAUCAAUUUAGACCAGAGAAGUUCUCUUUCCUGUCAUGAACAUACACCAGAUUCAGUUGGAAGAAACUUUUCAUUUGUUCCAUUAUAAGAAGCCUCUGGAUGAGGAUUAUGGGAAGGCACAGCGGCAGGAGGGAGAGGGCAGGACCCCAGAGACAGGAGAAGGUGGCU